UUUUUUUGCUGGCUUGCUUUCCUAGCUACAGAAGUCUUCACCAGUACCUUCAAGCUAUAGUUGUGUUGCCCCUCCCCACAGGAGAUUAAAACUUUUUUUCAUUAGGAAUAAAAAGAGAGAUCGGUUUUGAACAGAUCUUGAGCAGUAUUUACUGUUUCUUUCCCAGGUGACAUCAAUGCGGCUUUCUCUAGACUCUUUCUAAUUUUCCCUAUGGUGGCUGGUGGAGUUCUGGGAGGAAUCAACUACAAGAGCAAAAUACCUAAGGCUUUUCACCAAGAUGGCACCAAAAACUAAGAAGGAAGCUCCUCCCCUCCCAAAGCUGAAGCCAAAGCAAAAGCUUUGAAGGCCAAGAAAGCAUGUUAAAGGGCAUCCACAGCCAUAUAAAGAAGAAGAUCCCUACUUCACCUACCUUUUGGUGGCUCAAGACAUUGUGGCUCUGGAGGCAGCCCAAAUAUCCUCGGAAAAGCACGCUUAAGAGAAAGAAGCCUUCGCACUCUGCCAUCAAGUUCCACCUGACCACUGGGUCAGUUAUGAAGAAGACUGAAGACAACAACACAAUGGUGUCUUCAGUCAUUGUGGAUGUCAAGGCCAACAAACAUCAGAUCAAACAAGCUGAUCAGGCCUGAGGAAGAGAAGAAGCUAUGUGUUCAACUGGCUCCUGAUUACAAUGCUUUGAAUGUUGACAACAAAAUUGGGAUCAUCCAAACAGAGUCCAGCUGUCUAAUUUUAAAUACACAUUUUUUUUUCAAGAUAAAAAAGAAAAGAGGUUUAUUUAGUUCAAAGUUUUGAGGCUAAAAGUCUACAAUCAGGUCGUUCCGUCUAUUUGGUCCCUGGUGAAAACUGUGGCAUGUGGAAGAAAUCACAUUAACUAGUGUCCCACAAGAACUAAAUUAACCCUUCUGAGAACAGCUUUCCUAAUGACCUAAUUACCUUGCACCACAUUAAAGAUAAACUUCAAACACAUGACCUCUCAGGAGAGAAGCCACAGCCAAGCCACAGUAUGUCCCAAGAAUGAAGGAUGCUGGAGUUUGGGGGUCAUGAAGAUUUCACUGAGAUUUCAAAGGAAGACCUGGGAGGCCAGAAAAAGUGGAGCCGAGUCAGAGUCCCUAUGCACUGUCCCUGAAAAGUUGAUGCAUGAAGAUGUGAGAAGGAAGCCAAAGCUGCAGUGGAGACCUCCUGAAAUUAACAAAAAUCCAUUAACAUGGGACAUCUUCCAUAGAAAACUGUGGUAACCGAGCAGAGACAAGCCAUGAGAGAAGCCAUGUGGGCUGAAACCAGCAAGGACAUGAAAGUGAAGCUUCACAAUCCCUUUGGAAAGAAUAUCACAAUACCAUGUGCCCCAGAUGCUAGAUAUGGAGUUAUAGGAUGUCCAACUGGAUUUUGUGUGACCAGCUGGAUUUUGAUCUUUCUUUGGUCCCAAAUCUUCUAUGUCCCUAUUCCUCUCUUGUGAAAUGAAACAUUUACUCUAUGCCAUUAUAUAUUGAAUACUGACUUGCUUUUGAUCUUUACAAGGGAUAACCUUCAUGAGUUCACUUUACUCUUCGAUGAGAUUUUGGACUUGGACUUUUGUCUAAUGCUGGAACUAUUAUGAGAAUGGGACUCUUGGAAAUGGACUAAAUGUAUAUUGCUUUAUGAGAUGGGCAUGAAUUUUGGGGGGGCAGGGUUGGAAUGUUAUAGUUUAAAUAUGAGGGUCCUGUGAAGAGCUGUGACAGAAAAUGGGAGAGCAGUAACUGAGACUGGGGGUCUCUGAUGACUUCACACCUGAGGCAAACCUACUGCCUGGGAAUGUUUCUGUGCAAGGGCACAGGAUGCCUAGCUGUUAUGGUAAUUCCCUGCCUGAGGAGGCUCUGUGCAAGAGUCUUAUCAGCUUUGACCUUGAUCUCAGGCAAAUAGCUCCCAGGGAUAGAGGAAUUAUCAUGCUAGACAACAACAAUGUUUCAUCAGCUCUGCUAUUCUUGAGCCUGACUGCUUAAGAGUAAAUUUAAACAAUGGGCUUCCUUGAGUGCUACACAAAGCUCCUAUCAUUGCACAUUUCAACUAUGAGAAAGCUGUACAGAUCUUUGUAGUUCUGUGACUUUCCUGAAUACAAAGAAUAAUGCUUGUAUAGUCUGUAACCUGAUAAUGACACAUAUAUAAAUAAAGAUUGUUGACAUAACCCUUUA